rnacentral:rRNA from 1 species
CCUACGGGAGGCAGCAGUGGGGAAUAUUGGGCAAUGGGCGCAAGCCUGACCCAGCAACGCCGCGUGAAGGAAGAAGGCUUUCGGGUUGUAAACUUCUUUUCUCAGGGACGAAGAAAGUGACGGUACCUGAGGAAUAAGCCACGGCUAACUACGGGCCAGCAGCCGCGGGAAUACGUAGGUGGCAAGCGUUAUCCGGAUUUACUGGGUGUAAAGGGCGUGUAGGCGGGAAAGCAAGUCAGAUGUGAAAACCAUGGGCUCAACCUGUGGCCUGCAUUUGAAACUGUUUUUCUUGAGUACUGGAGCGGCAGCCGGAAUUCCUAGUGUAGCUGUGAAAUGCGUAGAUAUUAGGCGGCACCCCAGUGGCGACGGCGGUCUGCUGGACAGCAACUGACGCUGCGGCGC